UGCUUCCUGUACAGCUUACAGAACCA
rnacentral:piRNA from 1 species